AAUUUCAGGUUACAUUAGAACUGGAAAAUAAAACGGAUAUUUUAAAAGUUAAAAACUUGGAUCAAAUUUUCAUACGUAUACCAUCCAUUAAGUUCCAAAAUCUUAAUAUAUAUUCCUGCAUUAAACUAAAGGUUCACAGGUCGAAAUUAAUUAAAAGAAUUAUAUAUUCUCUUAAUCUCACUUCUAAUACAACGACAGGAUUAUUUUGAAAAAAAUUAAUUUCUCUGGAUGUUGAAUAAUUGACAUUCAUCGAGGACAUGACAAAUUCUUAAACAUACAUACAAUGGUGAUUGCAAAGGAUCAAAAUAAAAAUUU